GCCAGGGUGGCGUAGUGGUUAGCGCUACUGCCUAGUGAGCAGGAGAACCGGGUUUGAACCCUGGUCUUGGUA